rnacentral:rRNA from 1 species
UGGGGAAUUUUGGACAAUGGGCGAAAGCCUGAUCCAGCAAUGCCGCGUGCAGGACGAAGGCCUUCGGGUUGUAAACUGCUUUUGUACGGAACGAAACGGUCUCUUUUAAUAAAGGGGGCUAAUGACGGUACCGUAGGAAUAAGCACCGGCUAACUACGUGCCAGCAGCCGCGGUAAUACGUAGGGUCCGAGCGUUAAUCGGAAUUACUGGGCGUAAAGCGUGCGCAGGCGGUUUUGUAAGCCAGUCGUGAAAUCCCCGGGCUUAACCUGGGAAUGGCGAUUGGGACUGCAAGGCUCGAGUGCGGCAGAGGGGGGUAGAAUUCCACGUGUAGCAGUGAAAUGCGUAGAUAUGUGGAGGAAUACCGAUGGCGAAGGCAGCCCCCUGGGUCGAUACUGACGCUCAUGCACGAAAGCGUGGGGAGCAAACAGG